rnacentral:rRNA from 1 species
CCUACGGGAGGCAGCAGUGGGGAAUAUUGGACAAUGGGGGGAACCCUGAUCCAGCCAUGCCGCGUGUGUGAAGAAGGCCCUCGGGUUGUAAAGCACUUUCAGUGAGGAAGAACGCCUUGUGGUUAAUACCCAUCAGGAAAGACAUCACUCACAGAAGAAGCACCGGCUAACUCCGUGCCAGCAGCCGCGGUAAUACGGAGGGUGCGAGCGUUAAUCGGAAUUACUGGGCGUAAAGCGCGCGUAGGUGGCUUGAUAAGCCGGUUGUGAAAGCCCCGGGCUCAACCUGGGAACGGCAUCCGGAACUGUCAAGCUAGAGUGCAGGAGAGGAAGGUAGAAUUCCCGGUGUAGAGGUGAAAUGCGUAGAGAUCGGGAGGAAUACCAGUGGCGAAGGCGGCCUUCUGGACUGACACUGACACUGAGGUGCGAAAGCGUGGGUAGCAAACAGGAUUAGAUACCCUGGUAGUC